CUAUAGAAAAUUUUAUGUUAAAACUAGUAACAAGAAGACAGACCUUCUCUUAAAUGUAAACGUAAAUCAUAAGGACAAACCACUGAUACUUAACGCUCAAGAACCAGAAGUAAUAACCAACCAAGAAAACUUUACUUUAAUUAACGUUAACCUAACACAAGAACAUUUCAAGAAAGAUUAAAAGAAAAAGAAGGAACUCGGCAAACUUUAACCUCGCCUGUUUACCAAAAACAUCACCUCUUGAUAAUAAUAAGAGGCCCAGCCUGCCCAGUGACCCAGUUCAACGGCCGCGGUAUCCUAACCGUGCGAAGGUAGCGUAAUCACUUGUUCUUUAAAUAAGGACUAGUAUGAACGGCAUCACGAGGGUUAUGCUGUCUCUUUUUUCCAAUCAGUGAAACUAAUCUCCCCGUGAAGAAGCGGGGAUAAAAUUAUAAGACGAGAAGACCCUAUGGAGCUUCAAACAACACAACAAAUGCCAAACAACUUAAAAAUUUCAUAACUCCAAAUUUACUCCAGCAUUAUGAUUGUUAGUUUUAGGUUGGGGUGACCGCGGAGCAAAACACAACCUCCACAUUGAAAGAAUUUUAUUCUAAGCCAAGAACCACAACUCAAAGCAUCUAUACAUUGACAUUAAUUGACCCAAUAAAUUUGAACAACGAACCAAGUUACCCUAGGGAUAACAGCGCAAUCUACUUCAAGAGCCCCUAUCGACAAGUAGGUUUACGACCUCGAUGUUGGAUCAGGGUCUCCAAGUGGUGCAGCCGCUACUAAAGGUUCGUUUGUUCAACGAUUAAUACCCUA
rnacentral:rRNA from 1 species